UCAGUUCCAUUGUAUAGACUAUUGAUGACACAUGUGGUUCCUGUCAUGAAGUAAUGGUCUCAUUCUACGUUCUCCAAUUUCUUUUUAAUUUCAUGACCUUUUAUGAGAUGACCAGAAAACGAAUGAAAUCAGAAAAUGGAUUUUUACGUGAGCAGUCAGCACGGGUCCAUCCAUUUUGGAGAUAAGCUGGUGAGGCCAUUUUUGGGUGUUUAAAUAAACCACUUUACCAAAAAGAAAGAUGAUUUUUUUUUUUUUUAUUAAAAAAGAUGAUAAACCAGCGUACCAGUCAAUUUGAAAUCGCUUCCAUCUCUCUCCUAGAUAUAAACAUGCAAAUAGUCCUCCGGAACUCCACCUUCUAUUGGUUCCUCACAAGACCCUUAACCCGGACGGAGGUAGUGUAUAUAAAUGCAACAGAAAAAAUUAAACGAAUGUUUCAUGCUAUAGGCAAAUUGGGCACAAUACACGUUUCAACUCAGUUUCACCACGCGCCUCCGUGAAACGAUCUCAACAUCAUAAAUUUCCUGCUUAUGAUGUGUCACAAAUCAUAAAUUUCCUGCUUAUGAUGUGUCACAAAUUCGCAAACAGAUUGAGCUGGUCGUCAUUGCAUGUUAACCAAAAGCCAGCCAAGUUUGGAAGAUGUCAAACACAACUAACUUCAGACUCGACAAAGGACAUAAAACUAUAUAGAAUCCAAACAUGGGUAAACCUCAUCUGAUCUUUGCAGAAGUCUGGAGAACGGAACAGCGAAUCAGAAAACCACAAUACGAUUCCACAGUGCUGCUAAAAGGGUUCGAGUUCCUCGUCAAAAUCAGGACAGACUGAAAGGGAAACUACAUGGCAUAUGCUCUGACAAUACUUAUAGGGCUAGGCUUAG
rnacentral:lncRNA from 1 species